ACAGUAUUGGCCAAAUCACCUGAUCAAGGCCAUCUAGCUGGUAAGGAGUGGGUCUGGGAUUUGAACCUAGGGCCAUCUGACUCCAGAGCUGAUACAUCUCUGCUUCUCUGUAGUGCCUGCUAAAUUGCUGCAGAAGGAAUUUGUGAUGUGACCGAAUUUGCUCAUCUCUGUGUGCCCCACAAGUGGCUGGGCACCCCCCAAUGUGAGGUCCCCCCUCAGUGUGGAUUCCCCACUCAGUGUGAGCUCCACCCUCUUGGACUGUCUCAGGGCCUGGGCUGUGGCCUCCAGGACUGAGCCUGGCCUGAUGCGAGGGGACUCAGAGAGGUCAGCUCCUGGACGGAGCAGGGGAUUUUGCCACUGAGGGGGAAGGAUGGGCAGGGAUCCACUGGAUCCACUUACAGAGGAAACACUCACUGUCUGCCCUCCUCCUGACCUCCUUCUUCUGCAGGAGCCCCAGAGAGGAGCAAAGUAAAGGAACCUGCGACCCUGAGCUGGGGUGAUGGAGGGUGCCAGAGAGCCAAGGCAGAGGAGGGAAGUGGUGGCAGCCCCUAGCCUCCUUCAAAAACUGGGACUAAAUAAGUGUGAAAAAGAAGAUCUUUCCAGGGCAGCAUGAUGCUGGGGUGGCCCUGCCCAAGCCUCUGGCUCUUGAGGUGUGCUGACCCUGGGGGAGCAGGCAGGAGAGUCUGGGGGUGGGCUAGGCUCUUGCCUGGCCCUGCAGGAGCCAGGAUAUGUUGCCUCACCAGGAAUUCUCCAGCAUCUCCCUUGGGUGGUGGCUGCCUCCCCCUGGGGCAUCUCUGCCAAGGAGCUCUUCCUGGGGACUUUUUCCUACUCAGUCUGGGUUUGGUGCAGAGAGAGGAGGCCCUGGAAAGGCCCAGACUCCAGCCUUGAGGCGCCAUCCCUCAGGGAGAGAGGCCCGGACAACCAGAGAGCCCCAUUCUCUCCCCAACCAGCCCCACCUGAACACCAGUCACCCACCUACCGGGCCCCUGACAGAUUCCCUGCAGGCCUCCCAGCUGCGCUUCUGGCCCUGCUUCUCCAAGUACCCAAAGUCCCAAUUCUUCUCCCUACAGCAGGAGGUCAUGACUUUUCUGUGCCAUGGACCACUGGGGCAUUUGGUGACCCCUCCACACCCUGUCUUGUUUGUAAAUGUAUCACAAAUACAUAGGAUUAUACUGGAAGCCAGUUGAUUUGAAAUACAGCUAUCAAGAUAUUUUUAAAAGCCACAGUUGUGAUGAAAUGAUAAAUGUGCUUCUCUAUUAACCAUUAAGACUCGGCAGCGGGUCUAAAAUGGAGGAGGGAUGAGUGAGAUUUUGAGAAGUCUGCAUCAACUUUGAUGUGAUCUGAAGAUACCAGCAAUUUCUACUGGGAACAAAGCUGCAGGUACUGCUGAAUACAGGGCGUGCUGGGUAUGUUCAUCACUGAAGGAAAUGCUAAACUGGAUAUGGUUACAGGGUAGGGAAAUUGAAGAUGUAAUCUUUUUCCCAUCCAAGUUCAUGAACACCCUGAAUUCUACCCAUGUCAUACCCCAGUUUAAGGAAUCCUACUGUGCUCUAAUCAUCGGGGUGCAGACAUUAUACUCACCAAGCAUGGCGUUCUGGGAGGGCAGGAAAAAGGCUUGGGGCCGGCGUGGGGGCGGGGCCAGUCACUAAGGGGAGGAGCCCUAGACUCCAGGUAGAAUCACCUGACGCCAAUAACCAAUGAAAUGUGGGGAUUGAAGGAGAAGGCGGAGCCAGCUCACUUCCUGGUUUUUCCCGCUUGGGUCGCGGGUUCCUUAACUUUCCUCCCCUCUGGGGUUCCUGCAGAAGCAGCGGGUCAGGAGGAAGGCAGACAGUGAGUGUAUCCGCCGGAAGUGGAUCCAGCUGGGAGAGAAAACGUGUUAGUCGGGUCCCACUUAGUUAUGCUCUGGUAACAACCAACCUCCAUAUCGCGGCGGUCUCGCAACCACAAAGCUCUGCCUCUUGCUCACGUUAGAGGUCAGCUGAGCGGCAGGAGGGCAGCAGCUCCGCUGUGUGUCACCUUCUCUCCAGGAUCCCGGUGGAGACAUUGCUGUUUUCAUGGAUCCUCAGAUCUGCAACUUUGAGGCUUGGAACAGGCACAACCUCCCGGCUGUGGGACCCUGGGUGAGUCCUGGUCUCUGUUUCCUCAUCUUGCCUCACGGGGACUGCAGGACUGGAUGGACGACAUACUGGGAGCCAGGCCCUCAACAUGGUUUUUGUUAGCCCAGCCAAGGCACAGAGGGGCCACCAGCCCCUGCCACUGAUCCAGACCCCACUGCAUCUUGCCCAGGGUGACACCCAGAGGCUCCCGGCUGUCUCUGCUCCAUUCAGUCAUUUUCUGCAACAGCAGCCGGAGCUAUCUUUCCAGAUGGCAAUCUGACCGUGCCGCUCCCUGGUGCCAACCCUUUUGCUCCUCACUGUCUAGGAGUUAAUCCCAGGCUCCUACCUGUAGCUCCAGGUUACGAUUCAGCCAAGCUGACUGGACUGUGUGCGGUUCUCCGAGGGCUCAUUCUUGCUCUGCUGUUGCUCCUGCCGGCAGCUCCUGCCUCCCUCUCCUCUUCUGCUCCUCCAGGUGACACCUGCUCCAGGAGGCCUCUCACCCUUUUCUCUUGCGGACCUGCCCCUUAGCACAAAUUGCUCUGGAUGGCUCUGUCCCCUAGGUUGGGCCUCCCGGAGAGCAAGUCCCUGGCACCUCAUGCUAAGCCCUGCCUAACUUAUCUAGUGAAUGAAUGAAUGAAUGAAUGACGAGAAGAGAAGAGAAUCACUGACAACAGGGAGGGCUGCCAUAAAGGCGAGGGAGGCCAGGACUAUGGCUCAAAAGAUCUGUGUCCUCCUCCCAGCACUCCCCAACUUGCUGCGUGGUUUCGGGUCCUCACUGCGUGAUGAAUUGGUCCCCGAGGACUCCUCUGUAUCACAACACUCACCUGUUUCCACAGCAUCAGAGAAUGAGCCACAGUCAGUUUGAACCCCAUCCUCCUUGUUUGAGUGAUGGCGAAAUCAAGGCCCAGUUGUGGGGAGAGCUGGACCCCAGGUCACUCAGUGCGUCCGUGGCGGAGCCCAGCCUGAGGCCUGCAUGCUGGCUCAGUUCUGCAGUUCUGGGCUGUGGUGAGGAGUGUGGAGAAGAAGCAGUCCCCACUCCCUGUGCCCUGGGGGAGUGGCCUUGUGGGCACUCUGGGGCCCUCCAGGGCAGAGGCACUCCGGGGCUGGGGCCAGGGCACCUCUGUGCCUGGCACUACCCUGGAUUCAGAACCCACCAAUAGAGGAGAGGAGGAAAAGGGUCACUUGGAAGUGGUCACACAUCCAACUGGAGGAAGACCUGGGGGAAGGCUCAAGGUCAGCCUGAGGUCAGCCCCUGUCCAGCUUAAUUAUUCAUUAACCAGGCAAGUCCAGGCACUGAGUUAAUGACCAGCACAAGGCUGGGGAGGGGAGCAAAUUCUUCCCCCGAGUGUGGGCAUGACCUGCAAGGGCAGGGAAGCCUACAAAUGAACAAUUGGUGGAGAAGCUCUUCCCUCAUUCGUUCAUUCGUCCAUUCAUUCACUCGCUCACUAAUUCACAUCUCUGUGUGUCCAUAAGUGAGCAGAAGCCUGGAGAUCCAGCUGGUGGGGAGGGGGACAGAGCCGUGGAGACAAGGACAGUGCAGAGUGGUCAGUGCUGUGUUAGGGGCAGCCCGGGGGCCUGGGGGAGCGCAGAGGAGACCCCUAGGCCAGCUUGGUGGAGUUGGUAAAGAUACCUGGAGAGAGUGAGGCCCCAGAGGAGACCUAUAGGUCCACCGUGGCUGGACCACCGUGGCUCAGGUUCUGUGACAUCCCUGCCGGCAGGGAUGGUACCAUCAAGCUCGCUUGUGUCCUUGCCUUCCCUUCACCAGGAGACUAUGUUGGGGAUUUCCUCUGAUGGUCCAGCCAGCUCCUGCACCCAUCCCCAGCACCUGGCCCCCAGGCAAUGCUCCUGGACAGAUAGAUGAGGAAGGGGCCUAGGGAGGCGUCAAGUGCAGGCUGAGGAGGGAGGCAGGGAGUCCUCCUUGGGGUCCAGUGGGUACACAGCUGAGGUGGAAGUCCUGUCUGAGGGACGGCUCCGGGGAUGGAGAGGCUUCAGGGGCCAUUUGGCACCAGGGGGUGAUGUGAUGGCUUGGGCUUGGGUUGCGGAUGGGAACUGACCUGGGCGUUGAAGGUGGGGCCCAGCCUGGAGAGGGCAGGAAAGGCAGGGGGAGGAAGGAAGGCCGCAGGUAGGGCAGGGGUCUCCUGGGAGAGUAGCCACUGGGGCUUUACAGGGGACACUGAGGGGGUUUGAGCGUUGGGACUGUCCUGGGAGCCGGGGCGUGGAGAAGGAGGAGCCAGGUGCCUCUGCAUGUGCUUGUGUGCACACCCGUGUGUCAUUGUAUUGCUGGUUCCCCACGCUCUUAUCUACCAGAUAGAUGGCUCCCUUCCGAAGGCCCCUGUCCUUUUCGGGUAAGGUGUCCAUACUGGGGCCCUGCCUUAAGUCGGAAUGAGGAGGGGGCUGCAGCCUCACCAUCGCCCCUCCCUUAUUAGCUGAGAUUGAGAAACCUGGGGCAGCAUGCGGAUCUGGGCCCCGGGGCUGCAGCCUCAUCCAUUCUUCGCUGCACUGCAGGGAGCUGCGGGAAGGCCCGGAAUAAAGGUGGCGCCUCUUACUGAAACUAAACAAAACCCUACUGGGGUCAGUUCACUGCCCCUGUCUCAGCCUGUCCAGAAUCCCGGUGCUGGACCCAUGACUUUCUCAAGGUAUACUUUACGCAAGAUAAAGCGCUCUCGUGUUACGGGCACAGCGCUGUGAUUUCUUACAUUUGUGUCACUGUGUGAUCACCACCCUGAGCAAGAGUCCCAGCAGCCCUGCCACUCGGGAGGUUCCCGUCAUGCUCCACCCGGACAGACCCGCUAGCCUGACCUCCAUCACCCUGGACCGUUGUGCCUCUACACACAAGUGCAGUCACAGCACCUUCCCUCUUGUGCCUGGCACUUUCACUCAGCAUAAUUUGGGGAUUCAGCCAUGGCACCGAGUGCAUCAGGACGUGUCCUUUUUCAUUGCUUAGUUUAACUCCACUGUUUAUUUAUCCCUUCUCCUGUCAGUGGCCAUGCCAGUCAUUUCUGAUCUCUGAUGUGUGAGGCUGUGAACAUCGAGUACCUGUCCUUUUGUGGAGAGGGAGGGAUCUGAUGUGACACUUUUGUUUAUCCUGAUUCCCAACUAGGAGCGUACAGAGACACAGGGCCUAUGCACAUGCUGUUCCCUCUGCCCAGAUGCUCUGCUCCCUGCCCUUCCUAGGGAGCCCUUGCUGACCCCGUGGUCUAAUGAUGUCUGCCAGAUUCUGUCCUUUGGUUUUGUUGUCUUUGUGGCAUUUACUGCCAUUUGUAGCCAUCUUAUCCCUGUACUUGUUUCUUGGGUGUCAGGCCCCUACCCACAGGUUUCUGUUCUCUGAAGGCAGCCACUUCUGCCUCAGGUCUCCCAGUGCCCAGCACAGGGCCUGGCAUGAGGUGGUGUCAGUCAAACCUUUGUGGGUGUGUCUGUAGGCCCUGGGAGGUGAGGACCCUGUUGGGCUCAGAAGGAUAGCCUCUCCCGGGAAGGUUUCCUGCCACCAUGACCUCUGACCCAGGAGGCCAGCUAAGAAGGGGUGGGAGCCAAGGAGGGGUGGGAGAUCUGUGUGCUACACUCAUACCUUCCUUAUCUUUUGGCUAAUGGUUUGUCAACAGUGUUGGGCUUCCAGGAGAGGGGAAGAUGGGGGCAGAGUCCAGCCUUGCUCCAACUCCUUCCUCAGCCUGAGAUGCUCAGCAGUCAUCUGUUUUACCAACACAGGUGUUACAAAGUCUCCUUACUAAAAAGGGAGGUUUGGAAACUACAGCUGUAGGCAAUGGGGAGCCAUAGAGGGUUAGGGAGAGGAGUGCCAUGGAGGAUGCCAGCAGCGACCAUCUCUCCCAGGUUGGUAGAAAGAAGGGCUGGACUCGAUCAUUUUGCCAUCAGCCUUCUGUGGGCUGAGAACCGGCCACACUUAUUUGGAAGGUAGCUUUAGGCCUGGGAGCAGAGUUGGGGGAGACCCAAAGGUCUUCAGAGCUGGGUGAGUUUAGCGCUUGAGAGCAGCAAGUUGAGAUUACACAGCAGGAGCAGCAGACUUGCUUUGAACUGGGAAACAGUACAAGUCCCCACGAAAGACAUUUAGACACUGUGCCUUCCAACAGGAUGCAGGGACCCUGGUCCCGAGCUCUGGGGCUCCCUGGUGUUGAGUCCCAUUGGCUGAAGGACAGAGGCCAAUCACCCAUCUGGUUAGAGACAGGGACAGGUGAGAAGCAGGGAUCCUGAAUCCAAGGCAGAGCUGGCUCCUCUCACACCGCCCUUCCCCAAACCCAUCCCUUCCAGCCCCCAAGAGCUAGGCUGCUGAGUUCUCCCUCCUCAGACUCCUCUGUUUACCCGCUGGCAGGAGGCCCAGGGUGGUGCCUCAGGAGAGGCAGGGAGGCUGUGGAGGGGCGCUGCAUUCCUGUCUGGCAUUUGGCAGGGCUGGCCUGCUUCUGCAGGAGGGGGACAGGGCGGGGGGACCAGACAGCCAGCCGGCACCUGCCCGGACCCCGUCUCACUGCCAGAAUUUCUGGGGGUGCAGAAGAGUCAGCGACAUCAUGGACACAUUCAAGUUUACUGAGCCAGGAGUAACUUGGGAACACCUGGUGGUUAGGAUAGGACCCGGCCUGCCCUGGGAGGCCCCCAGCCCCGGGGGAAGCCACAGUCUGGUGCUAUGAUAAGGGACACUGGCCGUGUGGGUGCACCAAUGAUGGAAAGAAGAAGGGAACCAGAAAUCAGAGGAGGGCAGGGGGCCCAAGCUGGCCCAGGCCAGGCCCAGCACAUGCAUGGCUUUGGGGCUGAGCUGCAGGUCAGGCUGGCCGUAGAGGGGGUGAGUUACACAGGACUGGGUCCUCAGGGCCCCAAAGAGGCUGCCAUGAGCCGAAGCUGAUUCUCAUCAGCGUUCUCCUGUGUAGAUUAAGCUGUGGUCACCUUCCUGUUCCAAUGCAGAGUUUCUUUCUCACAGUUCAGUGUGCAGCCGUCAUGCGGGGUGGGGGAGGGAGAGGGGGAGGAAGAGCUUGCUUAAUGCAGAGAGGGGAGGUGAGCAAGGAGGCGUCACCACAGAUCUUUUAGCAAAAGAUGCAGGCUACUCCUCACCGCCAUUCGCAGCAACAAAAAAUCCUGUCUAAUUUUCGCCCAGUUGUAAAAACCACUUAUAUAGAAACACUUCAUUUAAUCCAGGGACAGCUCUGAUCACCCUGAGUGCUUUCUGGGUGCAGAGACCUCUACUAAACACUCUAUGCCCUUGACCUCACUGGACUGCAACCUUGUAAAAGGCGUGCGUUUAUUAUUCUUGCACACUGAGAGGGAAACUGAGGCCCAGAGAAGGUAAGUGAACGCCCAUGUCACCCUGCUGGGAGAGGCAGAGACAGGAUUAGAACUCAGACUUCCUGGUCCUGCCACCCACUGCUACCUCCACAGGGGGCCUGCUCACCAAUCCUCAGGAAGGAGGUGGCAGGGGCAGGAGACAAAAGGGGAAAGUGUGGGAAGAAGGCCCGGAUUCCAGGGCCUGCUCCACCUAAUCCUAGUGGGGUGACCCCAGGCAAGAAGGAAUUUCACUUUUCUGAGCCUCAGUUUCCUAGUCUGUAAAAUGGGCACAGUAGUGGUGUCCACCUCACAAGGCCAUUGUAAGGAUGGCAGAAUAUUUUUGUGGACUGUUUCCUCUGUCUGGGAAGUUCCUGCCUUGCUCUUUAAAUGACCGGCUCCUUCUUGAACUUUACAUCUCAUCUUGAAUUAACCCUCCUCCAGGAAGCCCUCCCUGACCAUCCCUAUCCAGAAUAGCUACCACUCACCUCUUGCCUUGCACACUGAUUGCUCUCUCUCUUAUUACCUUGCUUAUUUCAUCCCCACCCCUUGUCACCAGCUAUGACAUUCAUUAAUUCAUUUGUCUGUUGUCUCCUCUCCACCAGACUAUGAGCUCCAUGAGGGCUCGGAGCCCCUCCAGUGGUCUAUCGCCAGCAUCUGGCAGGCUGCCUGGCAAGAGGAGGGGCUCAGCAGACACUUGUUGAAGUGGCGGGCGAAUGAGCCAGUGAAAGAGGACACAUGUAAAAUGCUCACCUCAGUUAGUGCCUGCUACAGAGCAGUGGCUCAGAGAAUGCUGGCAAAUGUCCUUACUACAAAACAAACCCAGAUCCAAAUUUCGAGCCUGUCUACAUAGGACACCUUUGGAUCAGUCACUCCUCCAGCUCUACUGCCUUCAAGGGAGCACAGGGUGGGGCCAUAGUCUUCCUCAGCCCCCAGCAUACUUUGAGUGCUGUUUAUAGUGGUUGUGGGAACAGAACGGGGACAGGCAGCGCUGGUAUGGGGGUGCUAGGGGUGAGGAGGCUGGGGUGCAGGCUGAGUAGAAGCCAGGGUACCUGUGAAGUCCUCAGAGACCCCCCCUGCCCCAGCCCAAGUUGGGCUGGCUCCUCUGUCAUUCCCACUCAACCUCUCCCCAGUUCCUUCCUAGCCCCAGAGCGCCUGUAAUGACAUUCAUUUGUAGUUUGUCUAAUGUGAGGGUCUUUCUCUAGAAUUCAUGGCUGCACUCCCAGGACUUAGCACGCACCCGGCACAUAGUAGGUCUCAAUAAAUAUUGGUUGAAUAGAUUAAUUAAAAAGAUGCAUGGGAAGCA